UAAGGAAAUCUCUCUCUCUCUCUCUCUCUCUCUCUCUCUCUCUCUCUCUCUCUUAUUUUUCGUUGUUCCUUGCGUCGGCGAAAAAAAGUCUGUAUGAGAAAGAUGAAGAUUGGUGUGCUGAUACUAGAAGAGUCGUAUUACAUGUUUUGUGCGUGAACCUAAUUCGAAAGGCUUUAUUAUGGACGAGAUUUUGUGUGUUCUGCUGUUGGAUUAGAUUCACGCACAAACUCGUGAAGAGAGAUGACUAAUCAUCAGUUCUGCGAUCUUCGUGUGUCUGUCGAGGUUCAAGAAGAAAGCAGAGCAAAUCUUAUAUAGGGGAUUAUAAAGAUAUCGUAUCAUGUAAUAUCUCUAGAUGAUCUAGAGUUCUAAAUGAUCUGACCAAAUCAAACGUAAUUAAUACACGUAUUAACUAGUCUGAUUUAAGUAUGUAAAGAUGGAUUUAAUUUUACAAGUGACUAAAUCCUCUUUCUUAAUUACUACUCGCAGUAUUAUAUA